AUUGAACGCUGGCGGCAGGCUUAACACAUGCAAGUCGAGCGAGCGGCGGACGGGUGUGUUAUGUGUGGGACACUGCCUGAUGGAGGGGGAUAACCACUGGAAACGGUAGAUAAUCCCGCAUACCAUCAGAUGUGCCCAGAUGGGAUUAGCUAGGAGGUGGGGUGAUGGCUCACCGAGGCGACGAUCCAUCGCUGGUCUGAGAGGAUGACCAGCCACACGGUGACUGAGACACGGUCCAGACUCCUACGGGAGGCAGCAGUGGGGAAUAUUGCACAAUGGGCGCAAGCCUGAUGCAGCCAUGCCGCGUGUGUGAAGAAGGCCUUCGGGUUGUAAAGCACUUUCAGCGAGGAGGCGUUACUCGCAGAAGAAGCACCGGCUAACUCCGUGCCAGCAGCCGCGGUAAUUC
rnacentral:rRNA from 1 species